UUUCCGUAGGUGAACCUGCGGAGGGUUCAUUAUCGUACAAAAUGUGAGGGGCAAGUGAGGGCUGUCGCUCUCCCAAAACUCGUGCACGCCCGAGUGUGUCCUCUUGCAUAAUAAUCCAUCUCACCCUUUGUGCAUCCCCGCGUGGGCACCCUUCGCGAUCAUCUCGCAGGGGGGCUCGCGUUCUCACACACACAACCCUUUUAAAAGUGCAGAAUAACAACAUUUAUGCAAUCAAUACAACUUUCAACAACGGAUCUCAUGGCACUCGCACCGAUCAAA
rnacentral:misc_RNA from 1 species